AUUGAACGCUGGCGGCAUGCUUUACACAUGCAAGUCGAACGAGUGGCGAACGGGGGAGUAAUGUAUCGGAACGUAGCGAGUAAUGGGUGAUAACCAAUCGAAAGAUUGGCUAAUACCGCAUAUUAGUUGUGCCGCCGUUAACUGAUCAGCUAGUUGGUGGGGUAAAGGGCUAGCACGGCGACGACCAGUAGCGGGUCAUGGAGGACGUUCCGCAACACUGGGACGGGGACACGGCCCAGACUCCUACGGGAGGCAGCAGUGUGGAAUUUUUGACAAGGGGGGCAACCCGGAUCCAGCCAUGCCGCGUGUAUGAAGAAGGCCUUCGGGUUGUAAAGUACUUUUGUUAGGGAAGCGGUACCUAAAGAAUAAGCACCGGCUAACUACGUGCCAGCAGCCGCGGUAAUUC
rnacentral:rRNA from 1 species